GAUGGACGCUGGCGGCGUGCCUAAUACAUGCAAGUCGAGCGAACAGACGAGGAGCUUGCUCCUCUGACGUUAGCGGCGGACGGGUGAGUAACACGUGGAUAACCUACCUAUAAGACUGGGAUAACUUCGGGAAACCGGAGCUAAUACCGGAUAAUAUAUUGAACCGCAUGGUUCAAUAGUGAAAGACGGUUUUGCUGUCACUUAUAGAUGGAUCCGCGCCGCAUUAGCUAGUUGGUAAGGUAACGGCUUACCAAGGCAACGAUGCGUAGCCGACCUGAGAGGGUGAUCGGCCACACUGGAACUGAGACACGGUCCAGACUCCGACGGGAGGCAGCAGUAGGGAAUCUUCCGCAAUGGGCGAAAGCUUGACGGAGCAACGCCGCGUGAGUGAUGAAGGUCUUCGGAUCGUAAAACUCUGUUAUUAGGGAAGAACAAAUGUGUAAGUAACUAUGCACGUCUUGACGGUACCUAAUCAGAAAGCCACGGCUAACUACGUG
rnacentral:rRNA from 1 species